rnacentral:rRNA from 1 species
CCUACGGGUGGCAGCAGUGGGGAAUAUUGCACAAUGGGGGGAACCCUGAUGCAGCGACGCCGCGUGGGGGAAGGAGGCUUUCGGUAUGUAAAGCCCUAUCAGCAGGGAAGAACAAUGACGGUAACUGACUAAGAAGCACCGGCUAAAUACGUGCCAGCAGCCGCGGUAAUACGUAGGGUGCAAGCGUUUUCCGGAUUUAAUGGGUGUAAAGGGAGCGCAGGCGGGGCGGUAAGCCUGGUGUGAAAGCCAGGGGCCCAACCGCGGGACUGCAUUGGAAACUGGCGGUCUGGAGUGCCGGAGAGGUAGGCGGAAUUCCUAGUGUAGCGGUGAAAUGCGUAGAUAUUAGGAGGAACACCAGUGGCGAAGGCGGCCUACUGGACGGUGACUGACGCUGAGGCUCGAAAGCGUGGGGAGCAAACAGGAUUAGAUACCCCAGUAGUC